UGGGGAAUUUUGGACAAUGGGCGAAAGCCUGAUCCAGCAAUGCCGCGUGUGUGAAGAAGGCCUUCGGGUUGUAAAGCACUUUUGUCCGGAAAGAAAUCCUUGGCUCUAAUACAGUCGGGGGAUGACGGUACCGGAAGAAUAAGCACCGGCUAACUACGUGCCAGCAGCCGUGGUAAUACGUAGGGUGCAAGCGUUAAUCGGAAUUACUGGGCGUAAAGCGUGCGCAGGCGGUUUGCUAAGACCGAUGUGAAAUCCCCGGGCUCAACCUGGGAACUGCAUUGGUGACUGGCAGGCUAGAGUAUGGCAGAGGGGGGUAGAAUUCCACGUGUAGCAGUGAAAUGCGUAGAGAUGUGGAGGAAUACCGAUGGCGAAGGCAGCCCCCUGGGCCAAUACUGACGCUCAUGCACGAAAGCGUGGGGAGCAAACAGGAUUAGAUACCCUGGUAGUCCACGCCCUAAACGAUGUCAACUAGUUGUUGGGGAUUCAUUUCCUUAGUAACGUAGCUAACGCGUGAAGUUGACCGCCUGGGGAGUACGGUCGCAAGAUUAAAACUUAAAGGAAUUGACGGGGUCAUAGCUGUUUCCU
rnacentral:rRNA from 1 species